AUACGAAGGGUGCUAGCGUUGUUCGGAAUUACUGGGCGUAGAGAGCAUGUAGGCGGAUAGAUUAGUCAGAGGUGAAAGCCCCGAGCUCAACUCGGGAACUGCCUUUGAUACUGUUUAUCUAGAGACCGAGAGAGGUGAGUGGAAUUCUCAGUGUAGAGGUGAAAUUCGUAGAUAUUGGGAAGAACACCAGUGGCGAAGGCGGCUCACUGGCUCGGAACUGACGCUGAGAUGCGAAAGCGUGGGGAGCGAACAGGAUUAGAAAACCCAGUAGUCC
rnacentral:rRNA from 1 species